UACGUAGGGUGCAAGCGUUAAUCGGAAUUACUGGGCGUAAAGCGUGCGCAGGCGGUUAUGUAAGACAGUUGUGAAAUCCCCGGGCUCAACCUGGGAACUGCAUCUGUGACUGCAUAGCUAGAGUACGGUAGAGGGGGGAUGGAAUUCCGCGUGUAGCAGUGAAAUGCGUAGAUAUGCGGAGGGAACACCGAUGGCGAAGGCAAUCCCCUGGACCUGUACUGACGCUCAUGCACGAAAGCGUGGGGAGCAAACAGG
rnacentral:rRNA from 1 species